rnacentral:rRNA from 1 species
CCUACGGGAGGCAGCAGUGAGGAAUAUUGGGCAAUGGACGCAAGUCUGACCCAGCCAUGCCGCGUGCAGGAAGACUGCCCUAUGGGUUGUAAACUGCUUUUAUACAGGAAGAAACAGUCCCUCGUGAGGGGCCUUGACGGUACUGUAAGAAUAAGCACCGGCUAACUCCGUGCCAGCAGCCGCGGUAAUACGGAGGGGGUUAGCGUUGUUCGGAAUUACUGGGCGUAAAGCGCGCGUAGGCGGAUUAGUAAGUUAGAGGUGAAAUCCCGGGGCUCAACCCCGGAACUGCCUUUAAUACUGCUAGUCUUGAGUUCGAGAGAGGUGAGUGGAAUUCCGAGUGUAGAGGUGAAAUUCGUAGAUAUUCGGAGGAACACCAGUGGCGAAGGCGGCUCACUGGCUCGAUACUGACGCUGAGGUGCGAAAGUGUGGGGAGCAAACAGGAUUAGAUACCCUGGUAGUCCACACCGUAAACGAUGAAUGCCAGUCGUCGGGUAGCAUGCUAUUCGGUGACACACCUAACGGAUUAAGCAUUCCGCCUGGGGAGUACGGUCGCAAGAUUAAAACUCAAAGGAAUUGACGGGG